AAAUGCACAUAUUGUGAGCUUGAUGAGUAGGGCGGGACACGUGGUAUCCUGUCUGAAUAUGGGGGGACCAUCCUCCAAGGCUAAAUACUCCUGACUGACCGAUAGUGAACCAGUACCGUGAGGGAAAGGCGAAAAGAACCCCGGCGAGGGGAGUGAAAAAGAACCUGAAACCGUGUACGUACAAGCAGUGGGAGCACGCUUAGGCGUGUGACUGCGUACCUUUUGUAUAAUGGGUCAGCGACUUAUAUUCUGUAGCAAGGUUAACCGAAUAGGGGAGCCGAAGGGAAACCGAGUCUUAACUGGGCGUUAAGUUGCAGGGUAUAGACCCGAAACCCGGUGAUCUAGCCAUGGGCAGGUUGAAGGUUGGGUAACACUAACUGGAGGACCGAACCGACUAAUGUUGAAAAAUUAGCGGAUGACUUGUGGCUGGGGGUGAAAGGCCAAUCAAACCGGGAGAUAGCUGGUUCUCCCCGAAAGCUAUUUAGGUAGCGCCUCGUGAAUUCAUCUCCGGGGGUAGAGCACUGUUUCGGCAAGGGGGUCAUCCCGACUUACCAACCCGAUGCAAACUGCGAAUACCGGAGAAUGUUAUCACGGGAGACACACGGCGGGUGCUAACGUCCGUCGUGAAGAGGGAAACAACCCAGACCGCCAGCUAAGGUCCCAAAGUCAUGGUUAAGUGGGAAACGAUGUGGGAAGGCCCAGACAGCCAGGAUGUUGGCUUAGAAGCAGCCAUCAUUUAAAGAAAGCGUAAUAGCUCACUGGUCGAGUCGGCCUGCGCGGAAGAUGUAACGGGGCUAAACCAUGCACCGAAGCUGCGGCAGCGACGCUUAUGCGUUGUUGGGUAGGGGAGCGUUCUGUAAGCCUGCGAAGGUGUGCUGUGAGGCAUGCUGGAGGUAUCAGAAGUGCGAAUGCUGACAUAAGUAACGAUAAAGCGGGUGAAAAGCCCGCUCGCCGGAAGACCAAGGGUUCCUGUCCAACGUUAAUCGGGGCAGGGUGAGUCGACCCCUAAGGCGAGGCCGAAAGGCGUAGUCGAUGGGAAACAGGUUAAUAUUCCUGUACUUGGUGUUACUGCGAAGGGGGGACGGAGAAGGCUAUGUUGGCCGGGCGACGGUUGUCCCGGUUUAAGCGUGUAGGCUGGUUUUCCAGGCAAAUCCGGAAAAUCAAGGCUGAGGCGUGAUGACGAGGCACUACGGUGCUGAAGCAACAAAUGCCCUGCUUCCAGGAAAAGCCUCUAAGCAUCAGGUAACAUCAAAUCGUACCCCAAACCGACACAGGUGGUCAGGUAGAGAAUACCAAGGCGCUUGAGAGAACUCGGGUGAAGGAACUAGGCAAAAUGGUGCCGUAACUUCGGGAGAAGGCACGCUGAUAUGUAGGUGAAGUCCCUUGCGGAUGGAGCUGAAAUCAGUCGAAGAUACCAGCUGGCUGCAACUGUUUAUUAAAAACACAGCACUGUGCAAACACGAAAGUGGACGUAUACGGUGUGACGCCUGCCCGGUGCCGGAAGGUUAAUUGAUGGGGUCAGCGCAAGCGAAGCUCUUGAUCGAAGCCCCGGUAAACGGCGGCCGUAACUAUAACGGUCCUAAGGUAGCGAAAUUCCUUGUCGGGUAAGUUCCGACCUGCACGAAUGGCGUAAUGAUGGCCAGGCUGUCUCCACCCGAGACUCAGUGAAAUUGAACUCGCUGUGAAGAUGCAGUGUACCCGCGGCAAGACGGAAAGACCCCGUGAACCUUUACUAUAGCUUGACACUGAACAUUGAGCCUUGAUGUGUAGGAUAGGUGGGAGGCUUUGAAGUGUGGACGCCAGUCUGCAUGGAGCCGGCCUUGAAAUACCACCCUUUAAUGUUUGAUGUUCUAACGUGGACCCGUGAUCCGGGUUGCGGACAGUGUCUGGUGGGUAGUUUGACUGGGGCGGUCUCCUCCUAAAGAGUAACGGAGGAGCACGAAGGUUGGCUAAUCCUGGUCGGACAUCAGGAGGUUAGUGCAAUGGCAUAAGCCAGCUUGACUGCGAGCGUGACGGCGCGAGCAGGUGCGAAAGCAGGUCAUAGUGAUCCGGUGGUUCUGAAUGGAAGGGCCAUCGCUCAACGGAUAAAAGGUACUCCGGGGAUAACAGGCUGAUACCGCCCAAGAGUUCAUAUCGACGGCGGUGUUUGGCACCUCGAUGUCGGCUCAUCACAUCCUGGGGCUGAAGUAGGUCCCAAGGGUAUGGCUGUUCGCCAUUUAAAGUGGUACGCGAGCUGGGUUUAGAACGUCGUGAGACAGUUCGGUCCCUAUCUGCCGUGGGCGCUGGAGAACUGAGGGGGGCUGCUCCUAGUACGAGAGGACCGGAGUGGACGCAUCACUGGUGUUCGGGUUGUCAUGCCAAUGGCACUGCCCGGUAGCUAAAUGCGGAAGAGAUAAGUGCUGAAAGCAUCUAAGCACGAAACUUGCCCCGAGAUGAGUUCUCCCUGACCCUUUAAGGGUCCUGAAGGAACGUUGAAGACGACGACGUUGAUAGGCCGGGUGUGUAAGCGCAGCGAUGCGUUGAGCUAACCGGUACUAAUGAACCGUGAGG
rnacentral:rRNA from 1 species